ensembl:snRNA U11 spliceosomal RNA
AAAAAGGGCUUCUGCUGUGAAUGGCACUGGGAGGGUGGGGGCAAACCACCCUCCUUGCGGAAUCGAUAUCAAGAGAUUUCGGAAGCACAAUUUUUUCAAACCGGGGCUGCUAGUGAUCGUUAUCCUGGCGCCCCA